GAUGAACGCUAGCGGCAGGCCUAAUACAUGCAAGUCGAACGGUCCACUUCGGUGGAUAGUGGCGCACGGGUGCGUAACACGUAUGCAACCUACCUUACAUUGGGGGAUAGCCUUUCGAAAGGGAGAUUAAUACCGCAUAAGACAGUAACAUGGCAUCAUGUAGCUGUUAAAGAUUUAUCGAUGUAAGCUGGGCAUGCGUCCAAUUAGUUAGUUGGUGAGGUAAUGGCUCACCAAGACGACGAUUGGUAGAGGAACUGAGAGGUCAAUCCCCCACACUGGCACUGGGAUACGGGCCAGACUCCUACGGGAGGCAGCAGUAGGGAAUAUUGGGCAAUGGACGCAAGUCUGACCCAGCCAUGCCGCGUGCAGGAAGAAGGCGUUCUGCGUUGUAAACUGCUUUUAUAUAGGAAGAAACGACCCUUGCGAGGGGCAUUGACGGUAUUAUAUGAAUAAGCACCGGCUAACUCCGUGCCAGCCGCCGCCGUAAGAC
rnacentral:rRNA from 1 species